UGAGUUGUGCUAAUAGCUAUAACCCCUCGAACCACCUGACGUGGUUCAUUUAAAUUUACUGCUUUCAUAGUUAGGUUUAAUUUCAGUUUUCAGUCAAUCAAAUUCUUCCUCUCUUCCUCACUCUCUCUGCGACUGCGAUUACCUUGCAACAACUGUGAGCUUUCUGUUACCUGCGACAACUGUCAAAGAUGGCACUUUCUGCAAUUGGAUUUGAAGGAUAUGAGAAGAGGCUAGAAAUAGCUUUCUUCGAGCCGGGUAUCUUUGCUGAUC
rnacentral:lncRNA from 1 species